CACAACUGAAUUUGGUCUCUGCCGAUUACCGAAAGGAAAGCCGACGGAGAAGCAUUGCGUCUGGUUAAAUGAACAUGAACCAUGGCUGUAUAGAGGAUGUAUUUAAGAAAAUAGUGUAUAAAGAAGAUAUGGCAUUCACUGCGCAAUUGAUCAUUGGUUGAAGAAAUGAUCUCAUGAUGAUGAUGAGGAUCGCCUUGAAAACUGUAUUUUCCCAAGAGUUGAUGAUCUGUAGGUUCUUGCUUGACAUGGUCUGCAAUUUUUUAUAUCUCAUAGUUGAUUUGGCUGCAACUCCCAUCAAAUGAUGAGGACCCACUGACCUCACUUCCCCCAAAUAUCAGCAAAUUAUGAUUACCCUUAUUCAUAGCUGCUGGGUGGUGAUGAUAUUGCUGCAUUAGUGCAGGGAGUUCAGCAAGGCCUGCUGGUCUUGAUAGCUCAUUUGAAAGUU